rnacentral:rRNA from 1 species
CCUACGGGAGGCAGCAGUAAGGAAUAUUGGUCAAUGGGCGCAAGCCUGAACCAGCCAUGCCGCGUGCAGGAAGACGGCCCUAUGGGUUGUAAACUGCUUUUGAACAAGAGAAAACCUCGGUACGUGUACCGAGCUGAUAGUAUUGUUAGAAUAAGCAUCGGCUAACUUCGUGCCAGCAGCCGCGGUAAGACGAAGGAUGCAAGCGUUAUCCGGAUUCAUUGGGUUUAAAGGGUGCGUAGGCGGCCUGAUAAGUCAGUGGUGAAAUCUCUCAGCUUAACUGAGAAACUGCCAUUGAUACUGUCGGGCUUGAGUACAGAUGAUGUGGGCGGAAUAUGACAUGUAGUGGUGAAAUACUUAGAUAUGUCAUAGAACACCGAUUGCGAAGGCAGCUCACAAAACUGUAACUGACGCUGAGGCACGAAAGUGCGGGGAUCAAACAGGAUUAGAUACCCUGGUAGUCCGCACCGUAAACGAUGAUUACUCGUUGUUGGCAAUAUGACCGUCAGCGACCAAGCGAAAGCGAUAAGUAAUCCACCUGGGGAGUACGCCGGCAACGGUGAAACUUAAAGGAAUUGACGG